rnacentral:rRNA from 1 species
UACGGAGGAUCCAAGCGUUGUCCGGAUUUAUUGGGUUUAAAGGGUGCGUAGGCGGGUUAUUAAGUCAGUGGUGAAAGCCGGCAGCUCAACUGUCGAACUGCCAUUGAAACUGAUAGCCUUGAAUCUAGUAGAGGUAGGCGGAAUGUAUCAUGUAGCGGUGAAAUGCUUAGAUAUGAUACAGAACACCAAUUGCGAAAGCAGCUCGCUACACAUAUAUUGACUCUGAGGCACGAAAGCGUGGGGAUCAAACAGG